rnacentral:rRNA from 1 species
ACUGGGCGUAAAGGGCACGCAGGCGGUGACUUAAGUGAGGUGUGAAAGCCCCGGGCUUAACCUGGGAAUUGCAUUUCAUACUGGGUCGCUAGAGUACUUUAGGGAGGGGUAGAAUUCCACGUGUAGCGGUGAAAUGCGUAGAGAUGUGGAGGAAUACCGAAGGCGAAGGCAGCCCCUUGGGAAUGUACUGACGCUCAUGUGCGAAAGCGUGGGGAGCAAACAGGAUUAGAUACCCUGGUAGUCCACGCUGUAAACGAUGUCGAUUUGGGGGUUGAGCUUUAAGUUUGGCGCCCGUAGCUAACGUGAUAAAUCGACCGCCUGGGGAGUACGGCCGCAAGGUUAAAACUCAAAUGAAUUGACGGGGGCCCGCACAAGCGGUGGAGCAUGUGGUUUAAUUCGAUGCAACGCGAAGAACCUUACCUACUCUUGACAUCCAGAGAACUUUCCAGAGAUGGAUUGGUGCCUUCGGGAACUCUGAGACAGGUGCUGCAUGGCUGUCGUCAGCUCGUGUCGUGAG